AGUGAACGCUGGCGGUAGGCCUAACACAUGCAAGUCGAACGGCAGCACAGUAAGAGCUUGCUCUUACGGGUGGCGAGUGGCGGACGGGUGAGGAAUACAUCGGAAUCUUCUUUUUCGUGGGGGAUAACGUAGGGAAACUUCCGCUAAUACCGCAUACGACCUACGGGUGAAAGCAGGGGAUCUUCGGACCUUGCGCGAUUGAAUGAGCCGAUGUCGGAUUAGCUAGUUGGCGGGGUAAAGGCCCACCAAGGCGACGAUCCGUAGCUGGUCUGAGAGGAUGAUCAGCCACACUGGAACUGAGACACGGUCCAGACUCCUACGGGAGGCAGCAGUGGGGAAUAUUGGACAAUGGGCGCAAGCCUGAUCCAGCCAUACCGCGUGAGUGAAGAAGGCCUUCGGGUUGUAAAGCCCUUUUGUUGGGAAAGAAAAGCAGCAGGUUAAUACCCCGCUGUUCUGACGGUACCCAAAGAGUAAGCACCGGCUAACUUCGUG
rnacentral:rRNA from 1 species